rnacentral:rRNA from 1 species
UACGAAGGGGGGCUAGCGUUGCUCGGAAUGACUGGGCGUAAAGGGCGCGUAGGCGGUUUGUACAGUCAGGUGUGAAAUUCCCGGGCUCAACCUGGGGGCUGCACUUGAUACGUAGGAACUGGAGUGGGGAAGAGGGUCGUGGAAUUCCCAGUGUAGAGGUGAAAUUCGUAGAUAUUGGGAAGAACACCGGUGGCGAAGGCGGCGACCUGGUCCUUGACUGACGCUGAGGCGCGAAGGCUAGGGGAGCGAACAGG